rnacentral:lncRNA from 1 species
CAUUGCAUCGAUACUGGAGAUUGGACCAAAUUAUGUUUUCUUGGGAGAAGCAGAAUACACCAAGACGCCCCCCUCGCAUGGAUGUGUCAAUGAUCACCCCAGAAUCCGCCACAAGCUGGGGUCCCUCAUAGAGCUUCACCCUGUCCAGGAUUCCAGGAUAGGAGUAUCCAUUGGUGCUAGGGUGCCAGUGGGCACUGUGCCACCAUGCCUGGGGCCUUGCUUUUCCCCAGCCCCCCUUGAGCUCACCAGGCCUGAGAGAGAAGGGAGGGAGGGAAAGGGAGGCAGGAAGGAGAGGGAAGGGGGGUGCUUUUCUCAGGCCUGGGGCCCCUAGCUCUUUGUCCAGCUCCUUUUGCAUCUCAAAGCACCAGCCGCAUUCCAAGCGAGGAUUGGGUUGCCAUGACAAUAAGCACAAUGGGCUGGGGGGUGAAGUCACCCGCUUCCCAGGCUCUAGUCCACCCCCUUUUAUCCCCUGUCCUGGCACCCCACAGCCCCAGGCACCUUAAAGGGGAACCAACCCAGGUUCCUGGACUCUGGGCUCUUGGCCAUGGAAAGUCCAGCCUCUAAGCAGACCCAUUUCCCCUCCCUUCCUGUUCAUCUCCACCAACUAGGGCUACUUGUUGGAGAGAAAUGCAAAGUUGUGGACAAAGUGUUGAACCGAGGCCUGUGAAGUCAGGGCCUUGAUUUUCUCUUCUGUAAAUGAUGAUGCCUUCCAGGUCAGAUGAUCCCUAUCCACGUUGAUAAGACAGGUUCCAGGUCAUACCAACUAAGGGACCAGAUGUGAUGUGCCCCUUCACAGAUUGGCCUGGGUUUGGAGGCUUCUGGAGAACUGUAAAGGGCAUCUAACCCAAUGCCCUCAUUUUACAGACGGGAAAAUGGGUCAUGGAGGAGUGACUUCACCAACAUCACUCAUAGGUGCUUGUGUCCGUGGUGAGAAGGGUGAUGGAGAGAAGUGGCUGCAGUUCCCACCCAUGGAGAGGUCACUGGUGAAUCCCAGCUAAAGAGGAAGGACAGGCCCGGCCUGAGUCCCACAGGUGGGCUCAGCCCCUCUCCUUACCGAAUGUAGCCAACUUGAGGCCGGUGCAGAAGCUGCCAGCGAUAGGAGGUCUUGUCCCGCCAGCCCACAUUUCGUGGGUCUGUCCACAGCAGUCGUACCUGAUCAGGGGUGUGGCCAGUAUGCCACAGGGCAUUUCGGAGGUGCUCACCUGGGCCAGACACUGAUGUCACUGCCUAGGAGACAUUGGCAAAGACAGUGGGUCAACUGCAGAACUGGAGUGAGGGGAGACAACAGGUCGGUAAGUGCAGGUGGGAAAGGGAUUCAAGGCGGUCAUGAAAAUGCCCUGGGGCCCCAGAGAGCCGGCCUCCAAGCCAGAUGUCUGGGCUUACCAUCUGAGUCCUUCUGAUUGGGAUUGGGUACCAGGCGGCAGUUAUCGGGACCAGGAGGCACAUAAUCUGGGAUGCCAUCAUUGUCAUCAUCCCCAUCACACUCAUCUCCAAGUCCAUCGUUAUCAGAGUCCAGCUGGGAGCUAUUUGGCAGCUGUGGGCAGUUGUCCUUGGUGUCCUGAUGCCCAUCCCCAUCGCUAAUCAGAAGAACAGAUCACACCCUUGUGAUGGACAAACUGCUCAGUACAGUCCCACCCACCCAGCCUCCUUGUCCUGGGCACGAGGUUUUUGCCUCCCUGAUUUGGAGUAUUUGGCCCUUACUAGAGAGCUGCCAGAUGAGAACUCAGAGGCUCCUCCCGGCUCACCUGCAUCCUCAAAUACGCCUUCUGUCCA